rnacentral:rRNA from 1 species
UACGUAGGUGGCAAGCGUUAUCCGGAUUUAUUGGGCGUAAAGAGAACGCAGGCGGUCUUUUAAGUCUGAUGUGAAAGCCUUCGGCUUAACCGGAGUAGUGCAUUGGAAACUGGGAGACUUGAGUGCAGAAGAGGAGAGUGGAACUCCAUGUGUAGCGGUGAAAUGCGUAGAUAUAUGGAAGAACACCAGUGGCGAAAGCGGCUCUCUGGUCUGUAACUGACGCUGAGGCUCGAAAGCGUGGGUAGCAAACAGG